AGCAGCCGCGGUAAUUCCAGCUCCAAUAGCGUAUAUUAAAGUUGUUGCAGUUAAAAAGCUCGUAGUUGAAUUUCGAGAUCGGCUUACUGGUCGUGCUUUUGUACGUACUGGUAUAAUCGGUUUCUCCUUUCUGACGAACUUUAAUGCCAUUAAUUUGGUGUUUUAGGGAAUCAGGACUGUUACUUUGAAAAAAUUAGAGUGUUUAAAGCAGGCUCACGCUUGAAUACAUUAGCAUGGAAUAACGGAAUAGGACGUUUGAUUCUAUUUUGUUGGUUUCUAGGAUCGACGUAAUGAUUAAUAGGGAUAGUUGGGGCAUUAGUAUUCAAUUGUCAGAGGUGAAAUUCUUGGAUUUAUUGAAGACUAACUACUG
rnacentral:rRNA from 1 species